AGCGAGCGCUCGCUAGUUCGGGACUCACUUCGCUGCGGUGUGGUAGAUUACGAACCAUCGCACUCAGGGCUCCCACCAGGUUUCUUUACAGAGUCCAGCGCUUGUAUAAACAACUACUCAAAGAAUCAUUUUUAGCUGCAGCACCUGUCUCUCUCCUUCGAGGUAUUGGAUUGGGUGAAAGAAGAGCUAAUGCUUAUUGAACCCCCAACAACUUGUUAAUCGUUUGCAUCUUAAUGCAAGACCCGAAAUCCUUACAGUUCCCUGAAGCAAGUGCUCCCUAGAGGUGAAGAAGACGAGACUUAGCAGCUUGACCUAGGCAACCGAACUCGACAAUCUUGUUCGCCGCCGCAUCCGAGCGUUUGGCACACAGCAUCUACCCUUCUCUGCACAGCCAUGUGUUCUAGAGAGGGUAGAGCUUCAGUGCAAGCCCCAAGAUGUAACACAGGAUUGGUACAACUGGCUGUUCUGGACCCCUUCUUCUCGGUUCCGUCACACAGUUCACAGGGGACAAUCCUGGUGGAUAAGGAAGAGGACCAAUGUGAAAAACUGUUAUUCAUCCUUUCAAAGCAUCAAAACCCAAUCACUUGUGAAGUGUUGAACAAGCCAACAUCCGAUGACCUUAUGCUGGUAUCAUGUCUGGGGCUGUGAUCCUGACUGCACAGGACCUGUGAAGAACUGUAACUCACCUUAAUAGGAAUCUUCUGAAAACGUUGGAGGAAAGGAAUGUAAACUGGUCUUAUUGCCCUUGGUAACCAUAAUAGAAGUAUUUGACCCCAACAGGUAUUUCCCCCCCAGGUGUGGAAGGCUUUUUGUUUUCUCAUUUCACAGGUAGGACCAAAUAUAGCUGCAGCAGGGAGAGUUCCAGAUGUGGUUGUCUGUAUGUGUGUGGAGAGAAGUUGCUGGUGUCACUCGGGGAAGUCAGAAAAGAUUGUUUUCCUUUCCACAGUCAAACUUUCUUCUUAAGAGGUACUCAAAGGCUUCUCAUUGCAAAAAAAAAAAAAAAAAAAAAAAACUUCUUUCUGAAGCAACAAGUUUGUGAGCUUACAUGCUUCUUAGCUCAUGACAAGGAUCAGUAACACUGUGGGAGAUUGUGCAGUCCAAUAUGGGAACCACCAGCCACAUGAGAGUAUGUGCAUUUAGAAUCAGGGACCACAUAAUGAUGUUUGGUUAGUUAUGAUGAACUGCAUAUUUGAUGGUGGUCCCGUGAGAUUUUAUCACCUACUGAUGUCAUAGCUGUCUCAGUUUGUGUAAAUACACCGUAUGAUUUCACACAAUGAUGAAAUUGCCUAACUACGCAUUUCUCAUAGCAUAUCUCCAUCAUGAAGCAAUGCGUUACUUAUAAUUAAAAUGAAAUCAAAUUAAAUCUUCAGUUCCUCAGUUGCUUUGGUUAUAUUUCAAGGGCUCAAUAGCAUACAUGAAUAGUGGCUACCAUGCUGGACAGAGCAGCUACAGGACAUUUCCAUCAUUCCAGAACAUUCUAUUGGAUGGUGUUACUCUAAGACAAACCUCAUAACAGAAGUUGCCUAAUUGGUCCCAGACAGUGGGGAGCUGCUCCACGGCCUGAGGGCCCUGGGUAAGGUUAGAGUGAGGAUAUCGUCCUAUAAAUCUGUACAGAUGCACAGGUGAAGUCACUGGAGUGAAAGCUGAAUUCAUUAAGUCCCAAGUUUCCAAUGCUAUUAUAAGAUGACAUAUGAUGACACUUUAAUAAAUAUU
rnacentral:lncRNA from 1 species